UACGGAGGGUGCAAGCGUUGCUCGGAAUCACUGGGCGUAAAGCGCCCGCAGGCGGCCUGACAAGUCGGAUGUGAAAGCCCUGGGCUCAACUCAGGAAUUGCAUUCGAAACUGGUAGGCUCGAGUACGGGAGAGGGGGAUGGAAUUCCUGGUGUAGGGGUGAAAUUCGUUGAUAUCAGGAGGAACACCGGCGGCGAAGGCGGCCCCCUGGCCCGCAACUGACGCUCAUGGUCGAAAGCGUGGGGAGCAAACAGG
rnacentral:rRNA from 1 species